rnacentral:rRNA from 1 species
UACGAGAGGCCCAAACGUUAUUCGGAUUUACUGGGCUUAAAGAGUUCGUAGGCGGGGAGGUAAGUCGGGUGUGAAAUCCCUCGGCCCAACCGAGGAACUGCGCCCGAGACUGCUUCUCUUGAGUCCCGGAGAGGAAGAUGGAAUUCCCGGUGUAGCGGUGAAAUGUGUAGAGAUCGGGAGGAACACCGGUGGCGAAGGCGGUCUUCUGGACGGUGACUGACGCUGAGGCGCGAAAGCGUGGGGAGCAAACGGG